rnacentral:tRNA from 1 species
GGAGGGAUGGCCGAGCGGACGAAGGCGGCAGUCUUGAAAACUGCUGGGCCCCAGUCGGGGUCCCGUGGGUUCGAAUCCCACUCCCUCCG